CACGUAGGGGGCGAGCGUUGUCCGGAUUCAUUGGGCGUAAAGCGCGCGCAGGCGGCUCGGCAAGUCGGGUGUGAAGACCUGGGGCUCAACCCCGGGCGUGCAUCCGAUACUGCCGGGCUUGAGGCAGGUAGGGGAGAUCGGAAUUCCUGGUGUAGCGGUGAAAUGCGCAGAUAUCAGGAGGAACACCGGUGGCGAAGGCGGAUCUCUGGGCCUGUCCUGACGCUGAGGCGCGAAAGCUAGGGGAGCGAACAGG
rnacentral:rRNA from 1 species